rnacentral:rRNA from 1 species
CGGAGGAUCCAAGCGUUAUCCGGAAUCAUUGGGUUUAAAGGGUCCGUAGGCGGUUUAGUAAGUCAGUGGUGAAAGCCCAUCGCUCAACGGUGGAACGGCCAUUGAUACUGCUAGACUUGAAUUAUUAGGAAGUAACUAGAAUAUGUAGUGUAGCGGUGAAAUGCUUAGAGAUUACAUGGAAUACCAAUUGCGAAGGCAGGUUACUACUAAUGGAUUGACGCUGAUGGACGAAAGCGUGGGUAGCGAACAGGAUUAGAUACCCUGGUAGUCCACGCCGUAAACGACGGAUACUAGCUGUUGGGAGCGAUCUCAGUGGCUAAGCGAAAGUGAUAAGUAUCCCACCUGGGGAGUACGUUCGCAAGAAUG